AUGAUGUUAACAGCACAUACACUGAAAAUGGAACAAAGUAGAGAAGAUUAACAUGAUGCCUUCACUAGAAUGACCUGAAUAUUUAUGAAUAUUUUGAGGAAUUU
ensembl:snRNA U6 U6 spliceosomal RNA